rnacentral:rRNA from 1 species
GACAGAGGGUGCAAACGUUGUUCGGAAUUACUGGGCGUAAAGCGUGCGCAGGCGGUUCGUUGUGUCGGCGGUGAAAGCCCCGGGCUCAACCUGGGAAUGGCCGUUGAAACUGGCGAACUGGAGUGUGGCAGAGGGGGGUGGAAUUCCGCGUGUAGCAGUGAAAUGCGUAGAGAUGCGGAGGAACACCGAUGGCGAAGGCAGCCCCCUGGGCUAACACUGACGCUCAGGCACGAAAGCGUGGGGAGCAAACAGG